CCUACGGGGGGCUGCAGUGGGGAAUAUUGGACAAUGGGCGAAAGCCUGAUCCAGCAAUGCCGCGUGAGUGAUGAAGGCCUUCGGGUCGUAAAGCUCUUUUACCAGGGAUGAUAAUGACAGUACCUGGAGAAUAAGCUCCGGCUAACUCCGUGCCAGCAGCCGCGGUAAUACGGAGGGAGCUAGCGUUGUUCGGAAUUACUGGGCGUAAAGAGUACGUAGGCGGCUAUUCAAGUCAGAGGUGAAAGCCCGGGGCUCAACCCCGGAACUGCCUUUGAAACUAGGUAGCUAGAAUCUUGGAGAGGUCAGUGGAAUUCCGAGUGUAGAGGUGAAAUUCGUAGAUAUUCGGAAGAACACCAGUGGCGAAGGCGACUGACUGGACAAGUAUUGACGCUGAGGUACGAAAGCGUGGGGAGCAAACAGGAUUAGAUACCCCAGUAGUC
rnacentral:rRNA from 1 species